rnacentral:rRNA from 1 species
GAUGAACGCUGGCGGCGUGCCUAAUACAUGCAAGUCGAACGGAGAACUAGCUUGCUAGUUCUUAGUGGCGAACGGGUGAGUAAUACAUAAAUAAUCUGCCCAUAUGACUGGGAUAACUAUUGGAAACGAUAGCUAAUACCGGAUAGGUUAAUUGAAGGCAUCUUCGAUUAAUUAAAGUAGGUUUUCUACACAAAUGGAUGAGUUUAUGGCGCAUUAGUUAGUUGGUGGGGUAACGGCCUACCAAGACGAUGAUGCGUAGCCGACCUGAGAGGGUGACCGGCCACACUGGGACUGAGACACGGCCCAGACUCCUACGGGUGGCAG